AAAAGAAAGGAAAAUUACUACCACAAAAGGAAGUGGGACACCACACAUUAUGGAUAUGGACAAAUUCAGAUCCAUGUAAGAAAGGAAAAUGAACUUCUUCCUCAAAUAAGGCACUGAUUCCACAAGAACACCAAGCAUUAUAAAGGAUACUUCUCACCCCAUACACAGCCUUCAUCUACACCUGCCAGCAGAGAAAUGAUGCCGCCUGCUAUUUCAGUUGGCAACCCCCCCUCCUUGGUUAUGAGAUGGUGAAUAGCUGCUGGCCUGGCCGCGUAGAUACAGGGGA